rnacentral:lncRNA from 1 species
UCCGCAUCCUGAAUUUCUGCUCCCAGCUCCCUCGGCCUGGGUCAGGUUGGGUGGGUGGUGACACCGUAUUCUGGCCCUUGGGGUUUAGGUCAGAGGUGCUGGGGCCUGUGUGGGGUGAUCAUGGCACUCUGCGGAGAGGGAGGGAGCCAGGCCAGGAGGUCGGCUUGGCUGGAGACAGCCUGGUCCCACUGGGAGCCCUGGAGCACCUGGAGUUGGGCUGGCUGGGGCAGGAAGGUUGUCUUUUGGGCACCCCUCCAACCCGUCAAUCAGCCGUGGGCUGCCCUUCCAUUGAGAUGUGGGGAAAACCUUGAUGAGGUUUGUUCAAGGUGAAUGUUCGUGAGGUGUGAGCCACUGCGCCUGGCACAUGAUGUCCUACUCCUGCCUCUCGCCUCAGGCAAGGGUCCGCAACAGCCGGGCUCAGCCUCUGUUUUGGAGGGAGGAAGGAAGGAAGCAGGAAGACUACCUGAAGCCCCCAGUAAGUGCAGUGGAGAAGAUAGAGCAAGGU